AACAUGAGAAAACCAAGAAGCGCUCUAGAGAGAGGGGAGGGGAAAAUACGUGCGGGUGGCAAUAAUUUACGAGCAGAAGUUAGUCGAGUAAAAGAACUCGAGCGAGGAUGUUUUAUGUUUUACUUUCAUGCUUAAAUCAAUGUGCUGGGUAGAUAGGUUACGCUGUGGUUUAGGGGGAGAUUACCAUUUUUCUUCGUCUGCCUUUAAAAGGAGAAACGUGAAGACUGGGGUUUGUUUGGGGCUCUUUGUUUUUGUAACCGUCUAGUACAGGCCUGUAUAAAUCGGAAGUUAAUUUUUUGCGUGCAGUGUUUAUUUCCUAGUUGAGUUGUAGUCCUAACGGCACAUUAAAUUACGUUUCCCAUUGGAUGCAGUGGAAUUACUUCCUAAUGAAUCUAUUAAUUAGAUGGUUUUAUACUAAAAGACUAUUUUGCUCACAUAGAUGCUUUUUGUAUCUUUUUAAAAAAGUAACCUUGUUUCCGAAUGCAUAGGAUUGCGCUUUAAUUGUGCAAAGGACUACUGUCUGUCCUAUGAUUUAAGCUUUUUAUAACUGCGUCUACACUUUUAAGAUACCAACAGGACCUCUGCGGUUGGUGAAAUUAGUAUGAAGUGUUGAAAUAUGGCUUCUCCUUAUUUGCUUUGUGCAAUGGAAAACAAUUUCCGUUUUGAGAGAGUGAGGAAAUAACGACUCAGCUUUGUUUAUGUCACAACAAAACUGAUGUCUUUAGGUAUCGCAGGAUUAGGCUUUGUUCUUCUUUUGAGAGACUAGCACAGCUGCCCUCUCUAGAAUCUACUUUGUUUCCCCGUGUUUCUGUCCCAACGGCUUUUUUUUUUAACCUGCGGGCAACUUCAAACAAUUUUGCAUGUUGCUGUUUGCCACCUCCUUCGGUUUCUCUGAAUUUGUUCCAACUCUUCCUCCUCCCGCGCCGUCUGCCUCAUGGAUGCUGGAAAAGGAGAGGUGAAGGAAAAAGAAGAGCCUAUGCUUAGCUUUAAUGCCUCGAAGGAUUACAAGCAGACAAGAAGAAGCGUCCGUCAUGGUUUCUGUUUGGACUAAGGCUUUUCUGUGGAGAGGAGCAGGCAGGACUGAAGAAUUCUUGGCUGUGUACAGGGGAGAACUGAUGGUUCCCAUCCCACCUCCUUAAGAACAGGUGUGGCAGUUGAGACUAUAUGGACUGAACAACAUUACUUCCCAGGGACUUUCUUGAGUAAUUUAACUAAGUAUCUGGAUUUCAUGAACCCAUUUUAUGUUUAGAAUUGGCGGCUUGAAUCAUCUGAACAGAAUUAAUUCUUGGAAGUAACUGCUGAAACAACUGUAUGGAUUUUAUUUUUUCAUGAAAUAAGCUGAAACAUUGUUAUGGUUGAUGGUAAUGUCUGUGUCAAAACUCACCUGGAAUGCAGUCCAGAAAAGAUUCUCUCAGAGGAGGAGUGCACCUCUACUGAGACCCU